rnacentral:sRNA from 1 species
AACGGACCGCACGGUGACAGUUGUUGGA